ACCAGGUCAUAUGCAUCCAUGUUCCAGUACAGUACUGGCAGUAAGCCAAAUCGUCCCCUGUGUCCUAAGUAUGGUAUGGCUCAUUCGGGUGAGUGUUGCGGGGAGAAAAAGGGUUGUUUCUGGUGUGGUGACAUGGGUCACAAAGUUAGAGAUUGUCCAUAGGAUGGAUUAGAGCGCCGUGACUAUCGCUCUUAGACCCAAACUCAGACUAUUAGUGCUCCAGUUCUAGCGACUCGC
rnacentral:lncRNA from 1 species